UCCCUGGUGGCUCAGACGGUAAAGCGUCUGCCUGCAAUGCGGGAGACCCGGGUUCGAUUCCUGGGUCGGGAA
rfam:Ovis aries breed Texel chromosome 10, whole genome shotgun sequence.